AUGUAGAUAAGGGAAGUCGGCAAAUCAGAUCUGUAACUUCGGGAUAAGGAUUGGCUCUGAGGAUUUCGUGGGAGUACCGAGGAUGACGGCCAAGCCAGUUGAGGUCUGCUCGUUUCGGCUUGCGGACCACUUCUUAGUGAGGCUCUGAUUCACUCUGGACCACUUCCAUAUUUUACAAAUCAACUCUGAACUGGAGCAGACAAGGGGAACCCGACUGUUUAAUUAAAACAAAGCAUUGUGAUGGCCUUAGC
rnacentral:rRNA from 1 species